rnacentral:rRNA from 1 species
UCUACGGGUGGCUGCAGUGAGGAAUAUUGGUCAAUGGGCUUACGCCUGAACCAGCCAAGUCGCGUGAGGGAAGACUGCCCUAUGGGUUGUAAACCUCUUUUGUCAGGGAGCAAUUGGCGCUACGUGUAGCGUUAUCGAGAGUACCUGAAGAAAAAGCAUCGGCUAACUCCGUGCCAGCAGCCGCGGUAAUACGUAGGAUCCGAGCAUUAUCCGGAGUGACUGGGUGUAAAGAGUUGCGUAGGUGGCAUAAUAAGUAGCUAGUGAAAUCUGGUGGCUCAACCAUUCAGACUAUUAGCUAAACUGUUAAGCUCGAGACCGUUAGGGGUAACUGGAAUUUCUAGUGUAGGAGUGAAAUCCGUAGAUAUUAGAAAGAACACCAAUAGCGUAGGCAGGUUACUGGGACGGUUCUGACACUAAGGCACGAAAGCGUAGGGAGCAAACGGGAUUAGAUACCCUAGUAGUC